GGCUGUGGCUUAGUGGAGAGCCCUUGCCCAGCAUGUGUGAGGCCCUGGGUUCAAUCCCCAGCACCA
rnacentral:tRNA from 1 species